UGCAUAUAUGUGUGCAUGUGUGCAUGCAUGUGUGCAUGUAUGUGUGUGCAUGUGUGUGUGCAUG
rnacentral:miRNA from 14 species